rnacentral:lncRNA from 1 species
GAGCAGAGACCAUGUUCGGUCUCCGAUCAACUCUAAUGGCAUGUAUGAUGUCUAACAUGAGCUAUUGUGCUAAGCAAUUCCUUAGUCAAUGCAGCAUCAAGGAAUAAACUAGCUUAUUGUAUCUGAAUUCUUUCAGAAUUUUCCUUCUCUGGAAAUAAAUAAGAUGGGAUUGCGGGUAGGAAGGCUGCUAAUGUUACUUGAAUACUCGAAGUUGCAGACUCCUGGAGUAUUGGCAUAAUGGAGCGGGCUCGACCAUCGGUACCGGAACCGCACCUCAUCCGCCCACGAGCACACUGCCGCCAGAUCCCCUCCGGCAGACUCCGGCAGAAGGUCUAACACCGCUGCUGACGCUUUCUUCGUGAGAUAUUUCUGUCACAAUACAAGAUUUCUUUGAUCUGUGGUUUAUGAACUCAAGAGAUCAGUAAAAAUCAAUGUAAGAUUUCAUGUCACCUCUGCUAUUUUGCAGACCAUGUAGUGCCCCUCCUUCCCCCAGGCCUGCGCGGUUGGAGCUCCAGCUACUAGCAGAAGAAAGAAGACGCGGAGGAAGAGUAAGAAACCCAUCUUUCUUUCUUCUGCACGUCUCCCGCUUCGGUUUCCCUUCCCCCCC